CAGCAAAUGAGGUGAGGGGCUUGGAGUUCCAGCCGAAUCCUUUGCCUUGGAAGGGCUACCACUGUCUGUGCCAGGCACAUCAGCAGGGAACUGGACUGGAAGUGGAGCAUCCAGGACUUGAACUUGUGCCCUCCAGUUUUGCAAUAGGUGGAACGUGGUUUAAUAAUUCAGUACUAAUUUUAAGUAUAAAUUGGCAAUCAACAGGGGGCUGUAGCUAGAAGUGAAAUUCUAUAGGUAGGAAAACCGAUGGACCACCCAGCCCCCAUAGGUGCUAUCCUGCUUUGGAAUCCCUUUGCUCAGUUUUUCUCCUGUCCAAUCAGGUGGAAUGUUUCUCGGGCACAUGGGUUAUACAGCUCAAAAUAACUUGGGACCUGCAAGCCGACAAAUGCUCGGGCUCUGGUGGUGACAGGUUGUC